UACGUAGGGGGCAAGCGUUGUCCGGAAUCAUUGGGCGUAAAGAGCGCGUAGGCGGUCCGGUAAGUCCGCUCUGAAAGUCCGGGGCUCAACCCCGGGAGGCGGGCGGAUACUGUCGGGCUAGAGUCCGGAAGAGGCGAGUGGAAUUCCUGGUGUAGCGGUGAAAUGCGCAGAUAUCAGGAGGAACACCGAUGGCGAAGGCAGCUCGCUGGGACGGUACUGACGCUAAGGCGCGAAAGCGUGGGGAGCGAACAGG
rnacentral:rRNA from 1 species